GAAUACCAUAAAGUAAAAUGAUACUUGCGACCACAUUCUCGGCUGCUGCCGCCUCCUCAGUCUGGGCCGCAUACAUGCGCCCGCUCGGGGGCUGCCGUGACCCCUCCAACUACCGCUGCACAGGUGGCCGCCCGGCCUACUGGUGUACAGAAGGUGUCCCCUAGCUGGGACCCGGUGAAGCUGGUGCAGAUGCCGAAGAUGGCGGGUGCUGGUGUUGGACCCCUCGGACAGUCCGACUGGAAGUGGCCCUCCUGGCCGCACAGGUAGCACCUACCCCGACUGCGGGAACAUUGCUGUGGGUACUGAGGAUCGCCAUAGAUCACGCAGCGCGGAGCCUGGCGACGAUCGGGUCCUCCUCGCUGAGUAGACGAGCCACGUCCUCGCGACUGGCUCCGGCUCCUGGGAUGCCUCGGCGGCCUCCGUGAGUGCGUCUGGCUCGCACCCUCAGCCGCAAGCCUCUUGCCUUUCCCCUUCUCCAAGCCCUCGCGACGCUCCUGAAGGUCUGCCGCUCCAGCCUUCACGAUGAGUGCACGGUUCACAACCUCCCGGUAGGUUUGGAGGUUGGAGGACUGCACCAACCGAAAGAUCGAAGGUCGCAAUCCACGCUAAAAAAUGUGGGCCUUGUCCUCAUCAUCCCGUACCACAAAAAGUACACAGUGGAGUAGCCGGGAAAACUCUCUCUCGUACUUGGCCACGGUCCGCUCCUCCUGGCGCAAACUGCGCAAAUCCCGC
rnacentral:lncRNA from 1 species